UACGUAGGGGGCUAGCGUUAUCCAGAAUUACUGGGCUUAAAGGGCGCGUAGGCGGGUGACCAAGUCAGGGGUGAAAUCUUUCGGCCCAACCGGAAAAGUGCCUCUGAUACUGGUCGUCUUGAGGGAGGUAGGGGUCGAGGGAACUGGUGGUGGAGCGGUGAAAUGCGUAGAUAUCACUAGGAACGCCGGUGGCGAAAGCGCUCGACUGGACCUCUUCUGACGCUGAGGCGCGAAAGCCAGGGGAGCAAACGGG
rnacentral:rRNA from 1 species